rnacentral:rRNA from 1 species
UACGUAGGGUGCAAGCGUUGUCCGGAAUUAUUGGGCGUAAAGAGCUCGUAGGCGGUUCGUCGCGUCGGCUGUGAAAACCCGGAGCUCAACUCCGGGCCUGCAGUCGAUACGGGCGGACUUGAGUGUUGCAGGGGAGACUGGAAUUCCUGGUGUAGCGGUGAAAUGCGCAGAUAUCAGGAGGAACACCGGUGGCGAAGGCGGGUUGCUGGGCUGACACUGACGCUGAGGCGCGAAAGCUAGGGGAGCGAACGGG